AACGAACGCUGGCGGCAUGCCUAACACAUGCAAGUCGAACGAGACCUUCGGGUCUAGUGGCGCACGGGUGCGUAACGCGUGGGAACCUGCCCUUAGGUUCGGAAUAACUCCCCGAAAGGGGUGCUAAUACCGGAUAAUGUCUUCGGACCAAAGAUUUAUCGCCUUUGGAUGGGCCCGCGUUGGAUUAGCCAGUUGGUAGGGUAAAAGCCUACCAAGGCGACGAUCCAUAGCUGGUCUGAGAGGAUGAUCAGCCACACUGGGACUGAGACACGGCCCAGAAUCCUACGGGAGGCAGCAGUGGGGAAUAUUGGAAGAUGGGCGAAAGCCUGAUCCAGCAAUGCCGCGUGAGUGAUGAAGGCCUUAGGGUUGUAAAGCUCUUUUACCCGGGAUGAUAAUGACAGUACCGGGAGAAUAAGCUCCGGCUAACUCCGUG
rnacentral:rRNA from 1 species